AUGCACAGCUAUCUUGACAAGCAUAUUAGAGCAAACAUGUCUAUCAUUGCAGGCAAGAAAUGUGGGAUAGAUUUAGUAGACAAACAGCAUGUUGGCCAUUCAUCUGUGGAUCUAUCUCUACGGUUGUCUGGCCGCUGCUGCUCCAAGGAGCAGCUUUUCCUUUCUGCACCAGUGUUAUAUCCUACUAGCAUGACAACUCCAAGGAGCAGCUUUUCCUUUCUGCACCAGUGUUAUAUCCUACUAGCACGGCAAGAAAAUACUCAUCAGAAAUGUGAGAUAGAAUUAGUAGACAAGCAGCAGAUUAGCCAUUCAUCUGUGGAUCUAUCUCUACGGUUGUCUGGCCGCUGCUGCUUCAAGGAACAGCUUUUCAUUUUGCACCAAUGUAAAUACCCCACAAACACGCUCGCCAUCCGCUCUGGUCCAUAUGGUUGGGCUCGUAGGAAGGCGAUACAUGAGCAACAAUUCCAGCCACUCAAAAAAAAAAGAGCAACAAUUCCAGCCACUCAAAAAAAAAGAGCAACAAUUCCAAAGCCCGCUCUCUACAUUCUCUUCCUUGCUGAUCUUCAAUUGCUACCAGCUGAGAAGGCCAUUCAACCUGGCCUCACACAUCCAACAACACUGGAGGCAAUAGCAUGCAGCGAAGCAAUGUCCCUUGCUUUUGAUCUAAACCUUACGAGGGUGCAAAUAGCCACUGAUUGUCUCCAAGCGGUCCGCAAUGUCAAAGAGGUCAAUCUUUGCAGCUAUGGAGUGAUCAUCAAGGAAAUUUUAAUGAAGAAGGUGAUGUUUUCAGAGGUUUCAGUUAGCCAUGAAUAUAGAGCUUGCAAUGUAGAAGCACACAGUCUUGUGAAAGCUGCUACUUCUUUGGAGAGUGGGCGUCAUAUUUGGCUCCCCUCACCCCCACCCAUAGCUUGUAUCCCUAUAAACAUUGUUUAA
rnacentral:rRNA from 1 species